rnacentral:lncRNA from 1 species
UCUUAAAAGUUUGAGAAGAAAAUAUGGUAAAUAACUAAGAGAAAUCUCUGGUCAAUACUCAACAAGUCCUUCAGUCCAACAAUAUUCCAUACAUGAAAUCCUGCCAAAAACCAGACUCAGCACCAAACACACGAGAUGAAACAUAAGAUGCAUAAACACAACCCUUGCCUUUGAAGAAAAUUUGCACUAAUGGCAGAGAUGGGUGCUGUAUGAGUGAGCUGUGGCUGCCAUAGCAAGACAUCAUAGAUUGGAUGGCUUAAACAACAGAAAUUUAUUUUUUCACAGUUCUGGAGGCCAGAAAUCCCCAAUAAAGGUACUGACUGAUUAGGUGAGGGCUUUAUUUCUGCUGACAGACAACCACCUUCUUGUUGAGUUUUUAUACGGUCUUUUCUCUGUGGCUCAUAGAGAGAGACAGAGAGAGCUCUGGUGUUUUUUCCUCUUCUUAUUAG